rnacentral:tRNA from 2 species
GGGCGCAUAGCUCAGUUGGUUAGAGCGCCUCGCUUACACCGAGGAGGUCAGGGGUUCGAGUCCCUUUGCGCCCACCU